rnacentral:rRNA from 1 species
GACGAACGCUGGCGGCGUGCCUAAUACAUGCAAGUUGAGCGCUGAAGGUUGGUACUUGUACCAACUGGAUGAGCAGCGAACGGGUGAGUAACGCGUGGGGAAUCUGCCUUUGAGCGGGGGACAACAUUUGGAAACGAAUGCUAAUACCGCAUAAAAACUUUAAACACAAGUUUUAAGUUUGAAAGAUGCAAUUGCAUCACUCAAAGAUGAUCCCGCGUUGUAUUAGCUAGUUGGUGAGGUAAAGGCUCACCAAGGCGAUGAUACAUAGCCGACCUGAGAGGGUGGUCGGCCACAUUGGGACUGGGGCACGGCCCAAACCCCUACGGGAGGCAGCAGUAGGGAAUCUUCGGCCAUGGACGAAAGUCUGACCGAGCAACGCCGCGUGAGUGAAGAAGGGUUUCGGGUCGUAAAACUCUGUUGGUAGAGAAGAAAGUUGGUGAGAGUGGAAAGCUCAUCAAGUGACGGUAACUACCCAGAAAGGGACGGCUAACUACGUG